ACUCAUGUCGUCUAAUGGUAGGACGCCAGGUUUUGGCCCUGGAAAUGGUGGUUCGAGCCCAUCCGCGAGUACCA
rnacentral:tRNA from 1 species